rnacentral:rRNA from 1 species
UGAUGUAGGUAAACCUCCUUGCCAAAGCUUGAUCGCAUUAGAUGUCAGAAACUAAGCAACACUCUGCCUGGUUAGUAUUUGGAUGGGAGACCACUGGAAAUAUCAGGUGCCAGCCACUU